GGAAUAUUGGUCAAUGGAGGCAACUCUGAACCAGCCAUGCCGCGUGCAGGAAGACGGCCUUAUGGGUUGUAAACUGCUUUUGUUCGGGACGAGCAUGAAUACGCGUAUUCAAGUGACGGUACCGGAAGAAUAAGCACUGGCUAACUCCGUGCCAGCAGCCGCGGUAAUACGGAGGGUGCGAGCGUUAUCCGGAUUUAUUGGGUUUAAAGGGUGCGUAGGCCGUCUGGUAAGUCAGCGGUGAAAUUUCGGGGCUCAACCCCGAGAUUGCCGUUGAUACUGUCGGGCUGGAGUGUUGUCGGCGCGGGAGGAAUGCGGCAAGUAGCGGUGAAAUGCAUAGAUAUGCCGCAGAACACCAAUAGCGAAGGCAUCCCGAGAGGCGACACUGACGCUGAGGCACGAAAGCGUGGGUAUCGAACA
rnacentral:rRNA from 1 species